rnacentral:tRNA from 14 species
GCUCCCGUAGCUCAGUCGGAUAGAGCAGCAGUUUCCUAAACUGCAGGUCGCAGGUUCGAUUCCUGCCGGGGGCGC